GUGGGGAAUAUUGGACAAUGGGCGAAAGCCUGAUCCAGCCAUGCCGCGUGUGUGAAGAAGGUCUUCGGAUUGUAAAGCACUUUAAGUUGGGAGGAAGGGCAGUAAGUUAAUACCUUGCUGUUUUGACGUUACCGACAGAAUAAGCACCGGCUAACUUCGUGCCAGCAGCCGCGGUAAUACGAAGGGUGCAAGCGUUAAUCGGAAUUACUGGGCGUAAAGCGCGCGGAGGUGGUUUUGUAAGUUGGAGGUGAAAUCCCCGGGCUCAACCUGGGAACUGCCACCAAAACUGCAUGACUAGAGUACGGUAGAGGGUAGUGGAAUUUCCUGUGUAGCGGUGAAAUGCGUAGAUAUAGGAAGGAACACCAGUGGCGAAGGCGACUACCUGGACUGAUACUGACACUGAGGUGCGAAAGCGUGGGGAGCAAACAGGAUUAGAAACCCGAGUAGUCC
rnacentral:rRNA from 1 species